GUACGGGAGGCAGCAGUCGGGAAUUUUGGGCAAUGGGCGAAAGCCUGACCCAGCAACGCCGCGUGAAGGAUGAAGUAUUUCGGUAUGUAAACUUCGAAAGAAUGGGAAGAAUCAAUGACGGUACCAUUUAUAAGGUCCGGCUAACUACGUGCCAGCAGCCGCGGUAAUACGUAGGGACCAAGCGUUGUUCGGAUUUACUGGGCGUAAAGGGCGCGUAGGCGGCAAUUCAAGUCAUCUGUGAAAUCUCCGGGCUUAACUCGGAACGGUCAGGUGAUACUGUUUUGCUAGAGUGCAGAAGGGGCAAUCGGAAUUCUUGGUGUAGCGGUGAAAUGCGUAGAUAUCAAGAGGAACACCUGAGGUGAAGACGGGUUGCUGGGCCGACACUGACGCUGACAGCGCGAAAGCCAGGGGAGCAAACGGGAUUAGAAACCCGUGUAGUCCG
rnacentral:rRNA from 1 species